rnacentral:rRNA from 1 species
ACUCAAUAGAUACCCUGGUAGUCCACGCCCUAAACGAUGUCUACUAGUUGUCGGGUUUUAAUUAACUUGGUAAACGCAGCUAAACGCGUGAAAAAUAGACCGCCUGGGGAGUACGGUCGCAAGAUUAAAACUCAAAGGAAUUGACGGGGACCCGCACAAGCGGUGGAUGAUGUGGAUUAAUUCGAUGCAACGCGAAAAACCUUACCUACCCUUGACAUGUACGGAAGCCACGAGAGAUCGAGGUGUGCUCGAAAGAGAGCCGUAACACAGGUGCUGCAUGGCUGUCGUCAGCUCGUGUCGUGAGAUGUUGGGUUAAGUCCCGCAACGAGCGCAACCCUUGUCAUUAGUUGCUACGAAAGGGCACUCUAAUGAGACUGCCGGUGACAAACCGGAGGAAGGUAGGGAUGACGUCAAGUCCUCAUGGCCCUUAUGGGUAGGGCUUCACACGUCAUACAAUGGUACAUACAGAGGGCCGCCAACCCGCGAGGGGGAGCUAAUCCCAGAAAGUGUAUCGUAGUCCGGAUUGUAGUCUGCAACUCGACUGC